AGAGUUUGAUCCUGGCUCAGGAUGAACGCUAGCGGCAGGCCUAAUACAUGCAAGUCGAACGGGGCAGCAAUGCCUAGUGGCGCACGGGUGCGUAACGCGUAUGCAACCUACCCAUCAAUGGGGGAUAGCCCGGGGAAACCCGGAUUAAUACCGCAUACUAUAAUCAGAUGGCAUCAUGUGAUUAUGAAACAUUUAUGGUUGAUGGAUGGGCAUGCGUUAGAUUAGCUAGUUGGUGUAGUAAUGGUGCACCAAGGCAAUGAUCUAUAGGGGUUCUGAGAGGAAGAUCCCCCACACUGGUACUGAGAUACGGACCAGACUCCUACGGGAGGCAGCAGUAGGGAAUAUUGGGCAAUGGAGGCAACUCUGACCCAGCCAUGCCGCGUGCAGGAAGAAGGCCUUCUGGGUUGUAAACUGCUUUUGGAAGGGAACAAAACGGUCUUGCGAGACAAUUUGAGUGUACCUUCAGAAUAAGCACCGGCUAACUCCGUGCCAGCAGCCGCGGUAAUACGGAGGGUGCAAGCGUUGUCCGGAUUUAUUGGGUUUAAAGGGUGCGUAGGCGGCUACUUAAGUCAGGGGUGAAAGACUAUUGCUUAACAAUGGCAGUGCCUUUGAUACUGAGUAGCUUGAGUGUAGCUGAGGCAGAUGGAAUGGGGGGUGUAGCGGUGAAAUGCAUAGAUACCCUCCAGAACACCGAUUGCGAAGGCAGUCUGCUAAACUACAACUGACGCUGAGGCACGAAAGCGUGGGGAUCGAACAGGAUUAGAUACCCUAGUAGUCC
rnacentral:rRNA from 1 species